rnacentral:lncRNA from 1 species
GUGCACAGAUGUUGUGAUGUUAUGAGAUAAUUUUCAGGCCUCAAUGGGGUGAAAGGGUGGAUUUGUCAAGAGAGGGGCAUACCUAUGGCGGUCUUUUCACUGAGCAACACCAUGAUUUCAUUACCAUGUCAAUUCUGGGAGAAGGCCCUGAUUUAACACAGCAGUUGGCUGAAUGCAUAUGGAGCGGGUGGACCUCUGAAUGAAUAGUGAAUGGAAAACCGGCUGGAAUCUGCCUUCAGCUUUGUUUCAGGAUGACCAAUCAAUUUCAAGAAGCAGGCUGGAGAACAUCCAUUAAAAGCGCGCUAAUGAAGUGGUGCUAAGAAAAGAAAGCUAAACACCACAAAAUCAAAGUGGAGCAUUUUGCCUGGCUAAUGGGCUUGAUUAUGAGAUUUUACAGGCUCUUUUAUAAACUUGAAUUUUAUUUUGUGCUGGGAAACAGGAAAUUUCUGUUUGGCUUUAAACAUACACGAUCACACCACCAAAUAUUCCUAAUUUAAAACUGUGAGAGUAGAAAGAGAUUUUUAUGUCUAAGAGAGGAAGGGGCAAAAACAUCCCCAGCCGUGGUCAUGAAUAAGCACAACCUUCAAUACUCCUAUUUUAGAGAAGGGGAAAUGGAGGCCCCGAAAUGAGGCGUGUAGCUGCAGCCACCCUAACAGCCUCCCUUUCCUCUGAGCUUCCGUGGCUCUCAUGAUCAACAGCUGGUUAUAGGGUGUCUAACAUCGUACCUGUGGUUCCCAGGUGAGCCCGCUUUGCCGGAGGGGUUCUCAACCUUGUCACCAUUGACAUGUUGGACCCGAUAAUUUUUUGUUGUGGGGGCUGUCCUCUGUCUUGUAGGAUGUUUAACAGCAUCCGUGGCCUUCAUCCCCUGGUUGCCAGUAGCAUACCCUCCCGUUGUGACUACCAAAAACAUCUCCAGACAUUGCCAAGUAUCCCUUGCAGGCCAAAAUUGCCCCUGGUUGAGAACCAUUGAACCAGAUCAAUUACCUCCUGUAGGGUGAUGGACACCACACUUUAAACAUUCUAACUCCCCAGUGUCCAGCCUGGUGGCGUUGGGGCCAGAGCCAUGUGGUGAACGCACGCUGGUGGAGGAGAUUACUGAGAGCCUGCUGAAGGAUGGGCAAGUCCACUCCAAAUUCCAGAUCGGUGCAGUUUCAGUCUCUUCCUCCAUAACUCCAAUGGUGUUGCGUAUUCCCUUUUUGUCCAGCGGCCAGGCUGGGUGAGGGACAGCAGCAGAAGGAAACGAGAAGCCGAAGCAGUCCACACCUUGGAGAAUCACCUCUGUCUUGGAUGCUGAUGCAAACAGCUGCAUUCAAGGUUUGCAUAUGCUUAGCUGCAUGGGCGGGUGACAUGCUAAUAGAACAGCCAUGGGGCUGCCAUUGGGCGCCCGUUCUAAUCUCUGGCAAGACUUUUAAGUGAGGCUGUGCUACUCUUCGAAUGAUGCUCUAUUAUCCUUGUAGAAACACCGUGCUAUACGGAAUAGUGAAUUAUGGGAAAGUUGCCUGUAUAUAGAAUGGUAAGCAUUCACUUAUGGAAUAUGUAUUGAGCAUAUAUUGUCUAUAUCUUUCUAUUAAAAGCGAACACAGAGCAGAUCUGUUAUAAAGUAAAACAUUUGUUUCCUG